UACGUAGGCGGACUUAUAAGUCAGUGGUGAAAUCUAGCAGCUUAACUGUUAACGUGCCAUUGAUACUGUAGGUCUUGAGUAUAACUGAGGUAGUUGGAAUGCGUAGUGUAGCGGUGAAAUGCUUAGAGAUUACGCAGAACACCUAUUGCGAAGGCAGACUACUAAGUUAUAACUGACGCUGAUGGAUGAAAGCGUGGGGAGCGAACAGGAUUAGAUACCCUGGUAGUCC
rnacentral:rRNA from 1 species